CAAAUAUGAUUUAAGUUGUCGGUGCUAUCUCCAGUGUCUGUACUAUAUUAAAUCAGAGUUGCCAUCAGGGGAUCUAGUAGAUGCUUAAUUUGAAAAGCACUUUAUGACAUUACAGAUGGAGGACUCGAUCGAUAUUUGUAUUUCAAGUGUUAUACGUGAAUUUGGUUAAAGUGAUUUACUAUUUACUUUUGCCUCUUAUAUAAUGAAUUGAGGCUUCAAAACUGGUGCAACAAGUUACAUGAGUGUCAUAGGAAAUGAUAGUUUAUUUAGGGAAGGGAUGAAGUAGAACUCAAAGCUUGUGGCUUAUGUUGAAAAGCAUGGCCAUGGAAACUGGCGUUCAAUUCCUGCCAAAGCAGGACUUCAAAGAUAUAGAAAGAGUUGCAGAUCGACUGAGGUGGAUUAAUAACCUCAAACCAAAGAUAGAACGAGGAAACUAGCUUCGAAGAUCUCACCAUUAUUGAACUCCAUGUUGGAAACAAGUGGUCAAUCAUAGCAUCACACUUGUCGAAGCAAACGAGCAAUGGGAUCACGAAUUAUUGGAACACCAACGUCAAGAAAAGAUUUAUCAGAAUGGACAUACAUUCAAUUACCCAUAAAUCAAAAGCUAACACCUUUGAAGCCUAUGGUGGUCAUCAGUCGAAGGACGUCAUCAGAAUCAACCACAUGAUGGGAGAAUGCUCAAUUUGAUGCUCUAGCAAGAGAAUCUUAUUGUAAGUUGGAUUUAACUCCUUUGUUUUCCCACUUCAUUAGAUUCACUAUCAACUAAACACAACAACAUAGUGUAUAAUAUAUAUACAUGCCCUCAUAUAUCAUGACCUAGGCCUUCAAUCACCAAGUAAGCAUCCCAAGUAAAAAGCUUACUAUCUCAAUCAAUGUUUGACAAUUCACCAACAUGGAAAGUUUACUCUAAUAUAAGAGUGAUGCUAAUGUGAUUGAAAUUAGUAGUCGAGCUCAAAAGAUAAUAAAAAUUUAUGUGUCAAACUUACAAGAUGGUGACAUUAUAGUGAAUAUUAAUGUGAAAAACGAGUUUCUACAUCCAUAAUCAUGUCACCAUAAUGUCAUCAUUUUGUAAGUUUGACCUAUAGUCUUUCAUUAUCUUUUGAGUUUGACUAUUAGUUUCUAUGAUAUUAUCAUCAUUCGUAUGAGAGUGAUUAUUUUUCUUUAAUGGACAACUAUUCUACAUUGAUUGAGACAAUAAGUUUUUUUUUUUAAUCUAGGAAGCUCAAAAUGCAUAUUGGUCAUUGAAGGUCAUGACUCAUGAUAUGUAACAAGCAUGAGAACAUACAUGUUAUACACAUCAUUGUUGUGUUUGGUUGAUAGUGAAUCUAAUGAACUAGGGAAACAAAGGAGUUUGAUCCAACUUGCAACUUGUAUUUGUCUCCUAUUAUGCUAUGUAUUGACAACAUUUUUGGAGGUCACAAUCAUAAGCUUUGAAGGUGUUUGCUUUUCACUUGUGGAUAAUAGAAUUUUUGUCCAUCUUUGUUGUUAAACUUUGAAGAUUAUCCACUUUGAGUGAUGUUAAA